GGUUCUAUUCGGCUUUUAGAUUUUUCUUGCUCUACCGGCCCUUUUGAAAAAACCGCCUGGAGUAGAAGCGGACGGAGUCCGGAAAUGUUCGUCACGGGGCGUUCCUCCACCAACUUCCGCACAUCGAGAACAUCUUCCCGCCACUUGUAUGUUGUUUUUCGUGGGGAGGUGUUCAGUGUGAGGAGAGCUCUGUGAGGAGCAAAUCCCGAUUCGAGCGAGACGGCUCAGAUUGCAUGCCAUCUGUCCCAACCGAAGUUUGCGUUUCCGCUGGUGCUUUUCAGUUUGCGCUUUCGUCGUCCCUGUGUAAAUGGAAGAACUUGAAGACAUUGAAGCUUUUGCACACAUGCUUAAUGGCGGGCUGGAUUUUGGCGUCGAUGUCGUUGAAUUGGAUAACGAUGAACUUCCCUGGUCCGUGGUUACGUGCUGAAAAUCCACUUAGGGAGGAAUGGCGUAGACCAGUCUUCAGAGAUUUGAUGCUAACUUAUUGCCAAGCCAGGGAAAGAGAUGUGGGGUCCUCGCAAAGGAAUGCUGGAGUUGGUUCUUCGGGUAGGCACAUGCAUGUUGGUGAAUCUUCUGGUGCUAGGUCUUCUUCUGGUAAUCCUUCUUCUUCAGGAGUUGGUGGGAGUUCUAGCUCUCGUAACGAUGGCAGUGCUCAGCUCGAGAAUCAGAAUGCUGACGUUACUACGUCUUUGGCAGCGAGCUUUGAUACUGUCUUGCGAAAUGUGUUCCCUGACAGUCCCAGAGGAGGUGUAGAAGGCUCUUCUGGUAUCCGUAUUGGGGUUAGUUUCUCUGGCUUGGCUUCGGAUGCUUCAUCUACUCCUGAUCCAGAGCCAGUUGAUCGGGUCAUUUCCUUGGAUUCUAUUACCGUUCCUGCAACUAGUUUCUCUUCUGGGGUUCAGGUUUUGGGUCAACCAUCUAGUGAUGCCUCUAUCUCCAGGAGAUCCUCUGUUUGCUCUGUUUCGGAAGGGGAUGUGGUUCAUGAUAAUACUCAGGUUUGAGUUGUGGUAUUGCGAUUUUUUGGAAGGAUGAAAUGGAUGUUGAUAUCUUUUAUUCUUCUGAUAGGUGGAGUCUUUUUGGCUUGUGGAGAAGUCUGUCACCAUAGAAUCAGACUCCUUACUGGCAUAGCCCUUGACUGAUUCUCCACUACCUGGGAGAUUUUUGUCUUUUGGAUGGGGAUUCACUAUGUUUCUUCUUCUUUCUCUUUUGCCAAAUUCAUGUAUAUAAAUAGAAUUCUUAAUAGGGCUGCGCAUGAGAUGGCACAACAUAUGAAAAACUCUUAUGGGGAGGAAAUUUGGUUUAGUCCUCGUGCGUGAUUAUCAGCUUUUGUAUUUUUGAACACAGCUGGUUCUGUUUAAAGUUUCUUUAGUUAUCAAAAAGAAAAAGAAAAAACAAAAGAGAACAAAGAAAAUAUAUAUUAUUUAUAUAGUUUGGUGAACAGUGAGAGCCCAUUUAAACCAAAGUUUUUAAAAACGAACUGGAAACAGAACCGGUCAGGGGACCGGUUUCUGGU